GACAGAGGGUGCAAACGUUGUUCGGAAUUACUGGGCGUAAAGCGCGUGUAGGCGGCCCUGCAAGUCGGAUGUGAAAGCCCUGGGCUUAACCUAGGAAGUGCAUUCGAAACUGCAGGGCUUGAGUUCUGGAGAGGAAGGCGGAAUUCUCGGUGUAGAGGUGAAAUUCGUAGAUAUCGAGAGGAACACCGGUGGCGAAGGCGGCAUCCUGGACCGGUAUUGACGCUGAGGAGCGAAAGCCAGGGGAGCAAACGGG
rnacentral:rRNA from 1 species